GUAAGGAAUAUUGGUCAAUGGAGGCAACUCUGAACCAGCCAUGCCGCGUGCAGGAAGACGGCCCUCUGGGUUGUAAACUGCUUUUAUCCGGGAAUAAACCUGCCUUCGUGAAGGUAGCUGAAUGUACCGGAAGAAUAAGGAUCGGCUAACUCCGUGCCAGCAGCCGCGGUAAUACGGAGGAUCCAAGCGUUAUCCGGAUUUAUUGGGUUUUAAGGGUGCGUAGGCGGCCUGUUAAGUCAGGGGUGAAAGACGGUGGCUCAACCAUCGCAGUGCCCUUGAUACUGAUGGGCUUGAAUGGACUAGAGGUAGGCGGAAUGUGACAAGUAGCGGUGAAAUGCAUAGAUAUGUCACAGAACACCGAUUGCGAAGGCAGCUUACUAUGGUCCUAUUGACGCUGAGGCACGAAAGCGUGGGGAUCGAACAGGAUUAGAUACCCCAGUAGUCC
rnacentral:rRNA from 1 species